GACGAACGCUGGCGGCAGGCUUAACACAUGCAAGUCGAACGAGUGGCGGACGGGUGAGUAAUGCUUGGGAAUCUGGCUUAUGGAGGGGGAUAACGACGGGAAACUGUCGCUAAUACCGCGUACCAUAGGAUGAGCACACGUGGGAUGAGGUAGUUGGGGGGGUAAUGGCGUACAAAGCCGACGAUCUCUAGCUGGUCUGAGAGGGGGACCAGCCCACCCGGGACGGAGACACGGCCCGGACUCCUACGGGAGGCAGCAGUGGGGAAUAUUGCGCAAUGGGGGCAACCUGACGCAGCCAUGCCGCGUGAAUGAAGAAGGCCUUCGGGUUGUAAAGUUCUUUCGGUGACGAGGCGUUAAUCACAGAAGAAGCACCGGCUAACUCCGUGCCAGCCGCCGCGGUAAUUC
rnacentral:rRNA from 1 species